rnacentral:rRNA from 1 species
CGGGUGGUAAUGCCGGAUGCUCCAUCACACCGCAUGGUGUUUUGGGAAAGCCUUUGCGGCAUGGGAUGGGGUCGCGUCCUAUCAGCUUGAUGGCGGGGUAACGGCCCACCAUGGCUUCGACGGGUAGCCGGCCUGAGAGGGCGACCGGCCACAUUGGGACUGAGAUACGGCCCAGACUCCUACGGGAGGCAGCAGUGGGGAAUAUUGCACAAUGGGCGCAAGCCUGAUGCAGCGACGCCGCGUGAGGGAUGGAGGCCUUCGGGUUGUAAACCUCUUUUGUUAGGGAGCAAGGCAUUUUGUGUUGAGUGUACCUUUCGAAUAAGCACCGGCUAACUACGUGCCAGCAGCCGCGGUAAUACGUAGGGUGCAAGCGUUAUCCGGAAUUAUUGGGCGUAAAGGGCUCGUAGGCGGUUCGUCGCGUCCGGUGUGAAAGUCCAUCGCUUAACGGUGGAUCCGCGCCGGGUACGGGCGGGCUUGAGUGCGGUAGGGGAGACUGGAAUUCCCGGUGUAACGGUGGAAUGUGUAGAUAUCGG